ACCAUUACGCCUAUAGAAAAGUCCCCCACAAACCAUGUGUGUGUGUGUGUGUGUGCAUGUGUUUGUGUUUAUAUAGCUGCCACUUCUCUGCAUAUUUUGCAUGCGUAUGUAACAUUUUCUAAUUUUCUGUAUAUGUCAAUGUAUAUGUCAAAUGUGUGUGCCAAUGCUAACAAAGUAGUCAGCAUUAUAUUUAAAAGAUCUGAAAGUUUGAGCAUCAGCAUAAAAAGAAGCGAAAUAAAUCUGAUGAUGGUCUCUCAGCAAGUUAAACCCUUGAGAGAGGUUUCUAUGUAACCAUAGAUUUAGUUCCCCUUCUUUCCAUAACACGGAAAAAAGCUGUCAAAACCCCUGCUUAUUUUCUUAGAAAUGACAAUAUGCAGAUCUCUGUCUAGAGAAUCAUGAGAAUAUACAAACACCAGGUCCUUUGGCAAACAUAAAUGCAAGCACACAGACUAAUUUUUUUACACGUAUCGUAGCAGUUCCAAAAUGAAACAUGGAGGAAAAACAUCAUAGAAGUGUCAAGAAAUCAUAAACAUAUAUAACAUUUGGGGGACGUCUUGACCUAAUGGUUACCUAAAGGUUGCAGGUUUGUGUCUCAGGUUCUACAUGGAUUGUAGGUGGGAAGAGUGAAUAACCAGUGCUCUAUCCACUCUAAUUCCACAACUGAAGUGAGACACUGGAGCCCUCAACUACUGUUCACUACUCACUGCUGUCUGUGCAAUCUGCCCACUGCCAGUUUACCCAAUUGUAUUUGGAAAACCUUGGCUCGAGAACAAUGCAGUUUGAAGCACACAGUCAUUAAUGCUUCCACAUUUGUCUCAUGGUUUUCUGUUAUGGUGUAGGAUGCAGGAACAAACUUCAAUAACAGAUAAUUAAUUAUAAUUCAAAGGAAAACAUGUGUCAUGCCCCUAGACUGUUUUGCUUGUGCUUUCACACUCCAGAAGACAUGAAGACAUUUAAAAUCGGGCAAAUAAACCAGAAACAGAAUUCUCUUUAAACCCCAGCUGGUGAACCUGCAUGUCUGGCUGGUCAGUUAAGCCUGUAACCAGAAGGGAUUGUGCCUCAACGAGUGUUAAACACAAUCACUGAGCCUCAAAAAUUAUUAUUUAUAUGCAGAUCAAAGUAUUCUAAUAUUAAACAGGGAAAUAGUGUUUCGAAAGUGCGUCACUCGUCUCUGGUCAGAUGAAAUCAACAGUAAUUCAAACACAUAUGUAUACUAUGUUAAGGUAAAUUUAUUAAAUGCUGACCUUCUUAAUACCUCUGCUUGGUGUCUCUAUGCUCAUUAGUGGAAAUUGUUUAUGAAUUGAUGUAAAAUGCAGGGUUGAAGACCCAGUGAAUUAUCCUGUGUCAAAUAUACCAUUGUUUUUACAGAAGUGAUUAGAUUUCCAUCCUUAAAAAUGGCAUUUUGGUGUUAGAGCCCUCUUCUCCAGAUCUAUGGCCUCCUCAUGGGCUUGAGUCACAUGAAGCAUCUGUUUAAGUCAUUUGAUUGGCAGCUAGUUGCCAGAGUUUCUCUUUAGGUGAGAAUGAGGAUGUUCUGGCCAUCCAAUUAAAAACCACAAAACGCACUGUACUUGCCCAAUCGCCAGCUUAUCUCAGCUCAGUUUUUUCACCCGUCUUUGAGUCAACAAAACAUUUUGAGGAACUACAAAGAAGAUCGUUAUGGAUUGCGCCUAGCUAUAUUUAAAGAAAUCAGAUAUUGAGAACACAUCUGGGAUAUUAUUCAGUUCCAUUCUCCUGGGACAAAGGGAUGUCAUCUCUUUUCGUCUCCUCUGAGUCUCUGCUGCUGUCAGACACUCUCCUGUGUCACUUAGCCCAAGAUGAGGCUGAGAUGAUCUUUACGAAUUGAGGAUUUAGGUGAAAAAAUGACUCACAUAUAAGGAUUUAACAGGAAGCUCUGUGUACUUGUUCUGGUCUUUCUGUAAUCAAAAACUGAAGUUAAGAUACUCGGGUUGUCUAUUGACACGAUGGAAGCAGGAUUAUAUAAGACAUUAUAUAACACAUUCCCUUCAAGAAUCAAUUUCCAGAAUACAGCUUCUAGAGUCUAGAGUCUAGAGGAAGCUUCACUCUCAUAUUCAUGUAAGUAACUGAUUAAAUGUAACCAUUAAAAAGUAAUUGGGACCACAUCAAAUCACAUGUAUUCAUACCAUAUUGCUAUAAUCUAGCAAAUUAUAAGAUUUUUUUGUCAUGUACAAAAUUAAAACUUAAUCAAUUGGUCUUGAAAAUACUAUAGUAAACUUACAAUCGACCAACAAAUACCUGGUGCGCGUGCGCUUGUUACUCGACGUCACUUGUCUGAGCAAUGCGGAAGAGUUCCUUCCUGUCGUUUCCUGUUUUAAAUUGAUAGUAUUUAAACUUAAUUUCAGCAUUUAAUGUACAUUUUUAUCUAGAUUAAAUAUUAUAUUUAAGUAAAACCACGAUGAUGAGGUAUGUUUAAUGAAUUGUGAAUGAAGCUAAUUUAAACAAACGUGUUGUCCUUCACCGAUUUGACCGAAGGCCUGCGUUAGUUCCUGCAAAUAUGAGUAUAUCUGCCUGCUGUAUUUUGGUUGUUGGUUGCUUUGUUUAAGCUAGAGUUAGGAUGGAAAGAUUAGUUAAUUCUAUUCAUUCGUAAUUCAUAACCGGUUUAUAGCUGUAACUAUAUUUUGUAAUUAUUAGCGAUUAGCAUUAGUAUUUUGUAUUGGGCCUACCUUAUUUCGUCUCUCAGAACAUGUGCAAUUCACGUUAAGGGUAGAAAAUUUAUUUUGCCCUGUUUCUGCAGAUGCUGCUUCAUCUGUGUGUGCGCAGUGCUAAUAAGUAAAGGUGAACAUGAAAAAAAAUUACACUGAAGUGUUACGAUCACGUAUCGUGUAUCAUGUGCCAGAUUGUGUGUUUGUCAUUUCAGUGUGUCUGCAGGUCACGGUAGAAGCUGCAGUCGGUGGUUCUGUUAUUUUGCCAUGUUCUUUAACUGCAGAAGAUAUUAAACUUCAAGAUAUUGAUGUGCACUGGAGACAGAAUGACAGCAAAAUUGUGCAUGAUAUAAUUAAGGGGGAAGAUUCAGUAGCGAUACAGGACCCAGUGUUCAAGAAAAGAGUUGAAACUUUCCCUGAUGAGUAUGUGAGAGGAAACUUUUCCAUCAAACUCAACAAUCUUCAACACACUGAUGCAGGAAAAUUCAUCUGCUACAUCACACCGUCGUCUGUAUCUCAGACUGUAGAGCUGAUCAUCAAUGGCUCAAGAUCAAAAGGAGGAGCUGACAUUGAGGGCAAACCAUUGCUCUGGGUUUACAUUGUAAUACCUGUAUCAAUAGCAUUUAUCUCCAGUUUAAUCAUAUUUUGCUGGAGGAAAAAAAAAUGUUUCUUCUGUUUCAAACUGAACGGAUAACAGCAAUAGACGAUGAAUUGCAAAACAUUUCUGAUUAUGCUUUACUAGCUGUUUUUCUAUUUAUUGAAGUUUCUAUUUAUUGAAGCUUCUUCAGGACUUUGUUAACACACUUUAUUUUUUUAAGUUUUAAGUUUUUUUUUUUUUUUUAUUAUGGAAUUGUUAGAUGCCAGUGUUUCUUGUAACAACUAUGCAAAGAUUUCAAAACCAGUAUCAUAUUAAAGUGUUUCUUGUUAUUAUUUUAAGAGUGAUGUUAAGCCUGAUCUUGUGAUGGCUGUGCCUUUAAAUUAAAUUAUGGCCCUGUAAAAUGUUUGAUACUGAUUGUCGUGACAUUCCAAUGUUUAUAUGUUAUUCCCUAAUAACAACUGGUAAAAUAACAUCCUGGUAACUAUAAAGUUGGUUCUACAUGCUUGCUAUGAAGUUGUUGUUGUUGGGUUUUUUGUGUGUGUGUUUGAUUAGCUAAUAAAAUAUUAAAACUCAAUUGAA